AAUAAAUACAGUUUUGUACUAUUUACGUUUAACGUUUGACUGUUUGUCUUAUUUAAAAUUUUUUUAUGAUUAGUGUUUUUAUUGCUAUUAGAUGAUAAAACAGUACUUUAUAUGUGACUAAAUAUUUUUAAAUUUUUCACAAAUUUUAAAUAAGACGGACAGUCAAAUGUUAGACACGGAUAUCUAUGGCUGCAUUUAUU
rnacentral:pre_miRNA from 1 species